CAUCAAGAAUAGUUGAAAACCAAGAGUUGCAUCAGUACUACUAAAAAUAGUCUAACGGAAAAAAGAAGCCACCAAAAUGAGUGAACUAAUAAAGCAAAGCAUACCUUCUCCAUCGUAUACAAGUAAGCUGGUUCAAAUGCCUUGCUUCUCUUUUCAAGCCACUUCACUGUGAUAUUAACAUCAAUCACAAUCAAAUAUGACAAGAUUACAAUUACUAAGCUCUAAGCUGUCAUCAAACACCUUCAUACACUCUAUCAAUAUCUAUAUAUCCACAGAAUAAGAAGGUAGCUUAUUCUAGUCCUGUCAUCCAUAAAAAGUAAGCUGAUAACACCCAUAGUAAUCACUCAAUUUAUGAGUACUCAUUUUCUUGAUAAGAACUCAACAAAAUUCACUUAAGAAUUUCAAACAAUUAAAAUGAUGCCCAAUCGGCACCAGAUGGAAACAGAAAUCAUGAUGUCAUUGAAUCACUACAUUAGACAACAAGGUAAAUAAAUUGAUAGACUGAUAUCAGAUGGAAACAGAAAUCAUGACAUCAGCUGAAUAAAGAAUAUGUAGUGAGAAACAUAUCCUACAAGAUAAACUAGGAGUUUGGUCGUGUACCUUACUCCAAAUUUAUGAAUGUCGACUUUCAAGUAUUCUCUUCUCAAAUAUAUUAUUAUAUACCAAAAUGCGGAAGAGCAUAAAAGCAUCACCAUACAUAGGUAUCUUGCUAUAUGCAUGACUUAGGAACAAGAGAAGAUUACAUUCUUAACUUUUCUGAAGUAAUUUUGCCAAUAUUAUGCCAGAUGUUAUUUCUUCAGGCACUUGCCAAGUGGUAGACUGUGAGAUAAUGUUGAAACACUAUAUUGCCAACCACACUGUCAAGCCUCUGUGAACUUGACGCUCAUUAAAAAUCAGUUGGAGGUACAAAAUUCCAUCUCUUACCAAUUUGCAUCUAUCUUUAUAUCCUCGCAAAACUCACUGUAAAAAAAUAAGAAAUAAUUUUAAAUUUGUUUAAAAUCUUCAGAUUUUUACUAGUAAACUUAUUGCACUAUAAAGCUAUGAAUAAUUAUGCUCAACAUCUAGCCUGUCUCAUUUGAGUAAACCAAAAGCUAAGAAAAUAAAAGGGAGAGACAAAAAAUUAAACUACGUAUGGUGAAAUUUUUCAUUUUUAAUCAACCUUUUAAUAUAGGGGAAACAGCCGUUUACAAGUCAAUAAGCACAAAUAUCGUUCUCUAAUGGUUUCUUUUGCACCCAUUUCUGUCUUUGGUUGCAAUCAAGAAUCUGCUACAACGAUUUGGAUUUCAUCUUUCUUAGAGAAGCAAUAGAACAUUUUACUCAAGCUAGAAAUAGUCUAAUUGACAAUUAGACAAUGGCGUUCAUGAAGCAAUACUCCUACAAAGUGUUGGAGAUCAAAUAUAAAUAAAUCACCUCCCUCCUCUCCAAAAGAAAGUACAAGCUUUUUGAUGAUGUGGUUUGAUAUGGCAUCAAAUCAAACAAAGAUUAUGAAUUCAAAUCUCACCACUACUCAAUUGUAAAAAUUCCACGUGAGGGGUGUGUGUGUUGAACCACCUCUGCUAAAAUCUCAAGCUCUUAUUGAGAGGAUAAAUAUUUUUAUUUAAAUUGCCUUAAACACCCCCCCCCCC
rnacentral:lncRNA from 1 species